AUUAGAAGCAAUAUACAACUGAUUCAUACAUCAAACCUUCAAUUUUUUUUCCAGGUUUAAAACAACAUACAGAACACUCCAUGCAAUGCCUGGCUGUGGAGGUGGUGGUGACACAGGAAGUAAAAGGUUGAGGACAAAACAUCAAGGAGCAGGAAGACUUCAGAGCCUAUGCUGGCACCAAUGAGACCAGCCUCCUGCCUUCCCCACCACCACUGGAGAGGAUUUUCAAAGUGGCUCACAUUGGUUAAAGAAACUGUGGUCUGGAUUUGUCAGCUUCCUGAGUAUACCAAUUGGACCAGCUUUCCUCCCUCGCUCACUAGUGAAGACAACGGCUAAAGUGGAAACAGUAAGAGAAGGGAACACCAUGUGUGAUUGGCUGACCUUUGCUGGUUCCUGGUUGGCUUCAUCAUCGGCACGUAGUCUUGUAUGACUUGACUUCUUGUGGAAGGCGGAUCCAUCUACACCAAGAAGCAUUGCCAGUUUUGCUCCAUUUUCAAUGACCUGUGGACAUCAACUUGGAAUUAGAAUUGGUCAAGUACUUAAUGACGCACACUCCUCUUAAUUGUGCUUAAGGUAUUAAAAUUUUCUUUCAAC